UGCCCAACAACUCCUAUCCCUACCUCCUCGCGGUACUGGGCCGGGAUACGAAUAAAUUUAGAGAAGAUCGGGUAACCAAUCCCAAUGGGAACUCUGAUCGUAUGUUGCAGAGUAGG
rnacentral:ribozyme from 1 species